GCAUCCAUCCCAGACGAAUAGGUCUUAUAGAAGCAAUUCCCACCGGUGGCAUUGCACUGGAAGAAAACAAGAGAGGGAGGCAUUGAGCACAGCCAGGACAUGACAGCCUGUUGCUGCCAUUGGUUGCUGAAUUUGUCACUGCCAGAAGGACUUUACAAGUGGGUGGGCUGUGCAAGAUCAUUGAUUUUGCUUUUGUUUCACUUCACAAGAGUCCUAGUAACCAGCAUAAACUGUCAGAGGCAGGGACAGGCUUUCCUGAAACAUCCUCCAAACUGUCACUACACAACACUGAAACCAUCUGGUUUUUCAAUCAUUUUUUUCAAUGUACAUUGUGAGAGCCUUGUCAGGGCCCUAACUGCACUAUUAGGUCUUAUUAGCCCUGAUCAGCCUCACCUGGGACCUCCACCCACACCCUCUCCCCAUUGGCCCAGAAGCAUAUUUAAGCCCAGCCCAGGACUUUUAGCCUGUUUGGUCUGUGCUGUGGAGCUGUUGGUGUUCUUCUGCCUCACCACAGAUGCUUUUGAUCCAGUGGAACAAUGUCCUGGCCUCAACUUAAACCUGCCUCAUCGCCAGGAUCUUGCCUGAUGAGCUGAACUCUUGGUUGGAUGUGGCCACAUCUGUGAGCUUUCCCUGCUUGCUUGCUCAGAACGGAGGUAAACUGAAAAUCGCCUGAGAAGAGAGGCACAACUGGAAAUCAAAAUCCAUAUCUCCUUUGUCACUAAGGCAAGUCCUGGUCCAGAGCUCUCGGGUUUCUCCCUGCGGCAUUGGAGCUGUCCAGUCUAUAUGGAUCCAAUCGAUGACAUCAAAAGGGGCAGGACUUGAACAGAUCACGGAAAUUAUUCAAAGCAUGAUCCAGGGAACAAUAGGAAGUGAAUGAACUGGACUAACAAG